CGAGCCUGAUGCAGCGACGCCGCGUGCGGGAUGACGGCCUUCGGGUUGUAAACCGCUUUUGACAGGGACGAAGCGCAAGUGACUGUACCUGUAGAAUAAGGACCGGCCAACUACGUGCCAGCAGCCGCGGUAAUACGUAGGGUCCGAGCGUUGUCCGGAAUUACUGGGCGUAAAGAGCUUGUAGGCGGUUCGUCGCGUCGUUUGUGAAAACUUGGGGCUCAACCUUAAGCUUGCAGGCGAUACGGGCGGACUAGAGUACUUCAGGGGAGACUGGAAUUCCUGGUGUAGCGGUGAAAUGCGCAGAUAUCAGGAGGAACACCGGUGGCGAAGGCGGGUCUCUGGGAAGUAACUGACGCUGAGAAGCGAAAGCAUGGGUAGCAAACAGGAUUAGAUACCCUGGUAGUCCAUGCCGUAAACGGUGGGUACUAGGUGUGGGGCUCCUUCCACGGACUCCGUGCCGUAGCUAACGCAUUAAGUACCCCGCCUGGGGAGUACGGCCGCAAGGCUAAAACUCAAAGAAAUUGACGGGGGCCCGCACAAGCGGCGGAGCAUGUGGAUUAAUUCGAUGCAACGCGAAGAACCUUACCUGGGUUUGACAUACACCGGAAACCUGCAGAGAUGUASGCCCCCUUGUGGUCGGUGUACAGGUGGUGCAUGGCUGUCGUCAGCUCGUGUCGUGAGAUGUUGGGUUAAGUCCCGCAACGAGCGCAACCCUUAUCUUAUGUUGCCAGCGCGUAAUGGCGGGGACUCGUGAGAGACUGCCGGGGUCAACUCGGAGGAAGGUGGGGACGACGUCAAGUCAUCAUGCCCCUUAUGUCCAGGGCUUCACACAUGCUACAAUGGCCGGUACAGAGGGCUGCGAUACCGUGAGGUGGAGCGAAUCCCUUAAAGCCGGUCUCAGUUCGGAUCGGGGUCUGCAACUCGACCCCGUGAAGUUGGAGUCGCUAGUAAUCGCAGAUCAGCAACGCUGCGGUGAAUACGUUCCCGGGCCUUGUACACACCGCCCGUCACGUCAUGAAAGUCGGUAACACCCGAAGCCGGUGGCCUAACCCCUUGUGGGAGGGAGCCGUCGAAGGUGGGAUCGGCGAUUGGGACGAAGUCGUA
rnacentral:rRNA from 1 species